GGAAGGGGUGUAUUUAUUAGAUAAAAAACCAAUGCCCUUCGGGGCUCCUUGGUGAUUCAUGAUAACUUAACGAAUCGCAUGGCCUUGUGCCGGCGAUGGUUCAUUCAAAUUUCUGCCCUAUCAACUUUCGAUGGUAGGAUAGUGGCCUACCAUGGUUUCAACGGGUAACGGGGAAUUAGGGUUCUAUUCCGGAGAGGGAGCCUGAGAAACGGCUACCACAUCCAAGGAAGGCAGCAGGCGCGCAAAUUACCCAAUCCCGACACGGGGAGGUAGUGACAAUAAAUACUGAUACAGGGCUCUUUUGGGUCUUGUAAUUGGAAUGAGUACAAUUUAAAUCCCUUAACGAGGAACAAUUGGAGGGCAAGUCUGGUGCCAGCAGCCGCGGUAAUUCCAGCUCCAAUAGCGUAUAUUAAAGUUGUUGCAGUUAAAAAGCUCGUAGUUGAACCUUGGGCCUGGUUGGUCGGUCCGCCUCGCGGCGUGCACUGAUCCGACCGGGCCUUUCCUUCUGGGGAACCGCAUGCCCUUCAUUGGGUGUGUUGGGGAACCAGGACUUUUAC
rnacentral:rRNA from 1 species